rnacentral:rRNA from 1 species
AUUGAACGCUGGCGGCAGGCCUAACACAUGCAAGUCGAGCGAGCGGCGGACGGGUGAGUAAUGUCUGGGAAACUGCCCGAUGGAGGGGGAUAACUACUGGAAACGGUAGCUAAUACCGCAUACCAUCAGAUGUGCCCAGAUGGGAUUAGCUAGUAGGUGGGGUAACGGCUCACCUAGGCGACGAUCCCUCGCGGGUCUGAGAGGAUGGCCAGCCACACUGGAACUGGGACACGGUCCAUACUCCUGCGGGAGGCAGCAGUGGGGAAUGGUGCACAAUGGGCGCGAGCCUGGUGCAGCCAUGCCGCGUGUGUGACGGCGGCCUUCGGGUUGUAAAGCACUUUCAGCGGGGGGGCGUUACCCGCAGAAGAAGCACCGGCUAACUCCGUGCCAGCAGCCGCGGUAAUAC